rnacentral:tRNA from 7 species
UCAAACAAAGGGGAUUUUAACCCCUACCCCUAGCUCCCAAAGCUAGGAUCCUAAUUUAGACUAUUCUUUG